GGCGGCGUAGCCAAGAGGACGAAGGCGCGGGUUUGCAAAACCCGUAUUCAUGGGUUCGAAUCCCAUCGCCGCCUCCA
rnacentral:tRNA from 1 species